GUGACAACAGAAUUCAUAAACGUGAAUUUUUAAAGAAGGUGACAAAAAGAGAAGGAAAAUGCCGAAACCAAUCAACGUAAGAGUGACCACUAUGGAUGCUGAGCUGGAAUUUGCCAUUCAGCCCAAUACAACUGGCAAGCAGCUUUUUGACCAGGUGGUGAAAACAGUUGGUUUGCGUGAGGUCUGGUUUUUUGGGCUGCAGUAUGUGGACAGCAAAGGUUAUUCUACAUGGCUUAAACUAAAUAAAAAGGUGACACAGCAAGAUGUUAAAAAAGAGAAUCCUUUACAGUUCAAAUUUAGAGCUAAAUUCUUUCCUGAAGAUGUUUCUGAGGAAUUAAUUCAAGAAAUAACCCAGAGACUUUUCUUCCUUCAAGUUAAGGAAGCUAUUUUAAAUGAUGAGAUAUAUUGUCCUCCAGAAACCGCAGUUCUUUUGGCUUCCUAUGCUGUUCAGGCCAAGUAUGGAGAUUAUAAUAAAGAGAUUCAUAAACCGGGCUACCUGGCUAAUGAUAGACUCCUACCCCAGCGUGUUUUGGAACAACACAAGCUGACAAAAGAACAGUGGGAAGAAAGAAUACAGAACUGGCAUGAAGAACACAGAGGAAUGCUGAGGGAAGAUUCUAUGAUGGAAUACCUCAAGAUUGCACAAGAUCUAGAAAUGUAUGGAGUCAACUAUUUUGAAAUAAAAAAUAAAAAGGGAACCGAACUGUGGCUAGGCGUUGAUGCUCUGGGUCUGAAUAUUUAUGAGCAUGAUGACAAGUUAACACCUAAAAUUGGUUUUCCCUGGAGUGAAAUCAGAAAUAUUUCAUUUAAUGACAAAAAAUUUGUUAUAAAGCCAAUCGACAAAAAGGCACCUGAUUUUGUUUUUUAUGCCCCUCGUCUGAGAAUCAAUAAGCGGAUUUUGGCUUUAUGUAUGGGAAACCAUGAACUGUACAUGCGGAGAAGGAAGCCCGAUACUAUUGAAGUGCAGCAGAUGAAGGCUCAGGCAAGGGAGGAGAAACAUCAGAAGCAGUUGGAAAGGGCACAAUUAGAGAAUGAGAAGAAGAAAAGGGAGAUAGCAGAAAAGGAGAAGGAGAGGAUAGAACGUGAGAAGGAGGAGCUAAUGGAGCGUCUACGGCAAAUAGAAGAACAGACGCUGAAAGCCCAGAAAGAACUAGAAGAACAGACUCGAAAAGCUCUAGAACUGGACCAGGAGCGAAAACGAGCAAAGGAAGAAGCAGAAAGGCUUGAAAAGGAGCGCCGAGCUGCUGAAGAGGCCAAGUCCGCUAUAGCAAAACAAGCUGCCGACCAGAUGAAGAAUCAGGAGCAACUGGCAGCAGAACUUGCUGAAUUCACUGCCAAGAUUGCACUUCUAGAAGAAGCCAAGAAGAAAAAGGAAGAGGAAGCUACUGAGUGGCAGCACAAGGCUUUUGCAGCCCAGGAAGACUUGGAAAAGACCAAAGAAGAGUUAAAAACUGUGAUGUCUGCACCCCCUCCACCUCCACCACCGCCAGUCAUUCCUCCAACAGAAAAUGAACACGAUGAGCAUGAUGAGAAUAAUGCAGAGGCUAGCGCAGAAUUAUCAAACGACGGGGUGCUGAACCACAGAAGUGAGGAGGAACGUAUAACGGAAACACAAAAAAAUGAGCGUGUUAAAAAACAACUCCAGGCGCUGAGUUCAGAAUUAGCCCAGGCCAGAGAUGAAACCAAGAAAACACAAAAUGAUGUUCUUCACGCUGAGAACGUGAAAGCAGGCCGUGAUAAGUACAAGACUCUUCGGCAGAUCCGACAGGGCAACACAAAGCAGCGCAUCGAUGAGUUUGAAGCAAUGAUAUGCUGAUGCUUUAAGGAUGUUAAUAAUGAAUUCGGGGGACAUAGGCUGUAUCAAAGACUCUGCAUCAAAAUGUAUAGAAAAUGUAUUCACUGGAAAAGCAGUUUUCCAUCUUUAGGGGAGAUUAUCGGCAUUCACGUUUUUGGGGUGUUCUCAAGCAUUUUGAAGACUGGAAGCAAGUAUAUCUUCUAAGUUACUGGUCUGAUGUCUACAGGUGGGGACCCAAACUGUAUGCACUGUUCCAGAUGCGUUCUUGUCAAAGCAGUAUAAAGCAGAUGUAACAGGAAGAAGGCUCCCUCCCUCGCUAGGUCCCUGGCAUCUGACACACGGCGAGCUGUAGGAUGAGGACACACCAAGCCGUGCCUGAUGUUCUGAAUGUGUCUGUCCCCCCCGAACCCUGAACCUCAGCUGGAACCGGAUGGACAAGAAUUCCCCCCACCAAGGGCUCUUUCGCCGAUGGUUCUCUUCACGGCUCAGUUUACUGUUGGUUUUCCCUCGCUCGCUGUUCUGUCUCUCUCCAAACCUCUCCUGGUUGCCUUUCCUAGGGACAGACCUUAGGAAGCUGGGCCGGGACUUGGGAAUUUGUGCAUUGCGCCCUGCGGCCCCAAGCAUCCGCCUCGUCCUGUCUUCAAGGCACCGCCCCCUCAAGAGAUGCCUGAAGGCAUCGGCUUCUGAGAACCCACUUUUUUUUUUUUUCUGCAUGUCUAGCUUGUAAGGAGGGAUAUAUGGAGAGCAUUUCCUAGAAUUUUCCACUUUUUCACAAAACGUAUGUGACUUAUUUUUGGCUUCGAACUGAGAGCAAAUGUCGUGGCAUACUGCUCCGUUUACUUGUGCACAUGUGUGGAGUCUGGAGAAAUCGACGCUACAUUCCCUCUCCUGUCUGCGCUGUUUGUAUAAUUGUAUAUAAAUGUAGCAAUAAAUAUAUUCUAACAU